rnacentral:lncRNA from 1 species
GCUGCAAAAGAUAUUUAUUGGUAUCACAGAGACGAUGGACACCCAAAAUUAUUGCUGGAUAGGAGACACUUAUGGUAAAGGAGCUGUUCCCAUACGGGAUCCUACGUUAUCGCUUAAGCAUAUAUCCAACACUCUUUGUGUCCAUUGUCUAUUACAGUAAAUUUAAGCAAACUACAAACAUAUGUUGUAUUCCAAUAUCGAAUUAUUCAUUCUUGAACAGCCCAAAAUGGGGUAUAACUGAAAUAUGGGAGAAUAGCUAUAUUAUUUAGAAUUUUAUGUUGUGUAAUGUGAGGUUCAGAGUUCCAGUAAAGGAAAUCUCGAUAAACUUAAAUCAGAUCAACUAAAUAUAUCCAUCAUAUACACAAUUAGCCUUCACAUUUCUAUUUGUGUAAGCCUGCAUUAUUGCCACAUGAACUGUCCAUGUUGUUUGUGUUGCAACUCUGGCCAUGCAAUGUGGUUUGAUUCAAUGUAUGUAGGACCAAUUGUCAAUGGUUAUACUUGAGUAAUUACGGUGAUGCAAGACCAAAGUCAGCUCUGUACCAACUGAAGUUUAUCCAUCAGUAUUACUUUGGGCCUUUUGUAGUUUGCAUACAUUGCCACAAACAAAAAUAAGCUUCCAUGUUGCUUCAAAGGUAAAAGAAAUUGCACACCAACAAUCUAUAUCAACUUAACACCCCCUCUCUCUCGUGCAUUUCUAUCUCACAUGACUACACCUACAAGUGGAGAGGUAAACAGAGAGAAAACUUACACUUUCAAACCAGCAAAGAAAUGGGGUUUAAGGAUUGAAGGUUUCAAACCCAUGAGUAAUUGCAAUUGAAGCUCAAAUACCUGUUAGGAUUUUGGCUCGUCAAAUAUGUCCUAGUUGGUUUAGGAUUGUUUUAGGAAACCUAGAGGUAUACCGAUUCUUGUCCUAGAGGUAUUAGGAAAGAAUUUCAGUUUCCUUAUUCAAUUUAGGUUUGGAUUUCUAGAAGUCUAUUUGGUUUUGGAUAGUGUAAUUCCCUGGUCCACUUAGAAAUAGGAAUUCAAUCAGCCUUGGGACAUGUAAGCCAACCCUAUGUCUAUAAAUAGGGUGCGGCAAGGCUGAUUUUAUAGGAGAGAAAGAAAACAGCCAGACAGCCAAGAGUUUUGAGAUUAGUUCUAGGGUUUGCAAAAGUUCUGUAAUCUCUAUUAUUAAUCAAAGGAGCAGUGAUUUCUAUGACUAGAGAAAUCACAACUGGACGUAGGCAUAAGUUCUGCCAAACCAGUAUAAUUCUUGUGUGUUUCUAAGUUUUCUAAUAUUUGUUAGUUUAGUCUAUUGUUGUUGGUUACAUUAAAGAACAAGAUCUAGUGUGCGGGUUUUUCAACAAUUGGUAUCAAGAGCUAGGAACAAGGUGUUCUACGAUGUCAAAAGGGAAGAUGAAUGCAGAUCAAGGAUCUGCGUUAAAGCCCUUUGACGGCAAGGAUGACUUCACAGACUGGCAAAGGAUGAUGAAGAACGUACUGAUAGAGCAGGAUUUGGAUGAUGCACUCGAUGGUGAGAAGCCGGAAAACAUGACAGAGGCAGCAUGGACUAAGGUUCUCAAGAAGGCCAAGAGUUCCAUCAAGAUCCAUCUCACAAGAUCAGUUCGGUCACACAUCACCGAAAAGAUGACUGCCCACAAGCAUGGGAAAAGUUGGAGAAUGUUUAUAUGGGCAAAAUCGUGUCCAAUAAACUUUUUCUAAAGGAUGAACUAUUCGGGCUUCGACUAGAAGAAGGAGGUGAUAUUGAAGAUCACGUAUGCAGGUUCCAGAAUUGCAUAGCUAAUCUUCAGAAGGUCGAAGAAACUUACAAAGAUGAUGAUAUGGCUAUCAUCUUGCUGAGGUCUCUACCUUUGUCUUUCAAGCACUUUCGAACAACUCUAAUGUUUGGAAAAGAGUCCUUGAAGCUUGAAGACGUAAUUCAAGCUCUUCAGUAAUAUGCUAAACUGGAUGAUAUAACUGAAAGCUCUUAAGGCCUUUAUGCUAAAGGCAAGGAGAGGGGGUGGGAAAAGACAAAGGAAGAGAAGACUGAACUCUGGCAUCAUAGGCUUGGGCACAUAAGCCAGAAAGGUUGCAAGAAUUACACAAGCAAGGCCUAUUGGAAGGCGUGUCAUCUUGCAAAUUGGACUUUUGUGAAUACUGUGUUCUCGGAAAGCAAAGAAAGGUAUCAUUCGCAAGUAGCAGUGCAGAUAACCGAAGCAAGGAGCAACUCAGCUAUAUUCACUCAGAUGUUUGGGGCCCUGCACCAACUAAAUCAAAUGGUGGAGCCAAGUAUUUUGUUACUUUCAUGGAUGAUUUUUCUAGGAAGGUUUGGGUUUAUUUCAUGAAGCAAAAAUCUGAGGUUUUUGCAACGUUCAAGGAAUGGAAAACAGAAACCGAGAAUCAAACGGGAAGAAAGAUCAAGUACCUGUGAAGUGACAAUGGUGGUGAAUAUACAAGUAAUGAGUUCACCGAUUACUGCAAGCAUGAAGGCAUCAUAAAGCACUUCACAGUAAAGAAGAAUCCCCCACAAAAUGGAGCUGAGAGGAUGAACUGAACUCUCAUGGAGAGAGAGAGGAGCAUGCGAUUUCAUGCAGGAUUACCUGAUAGUUUUUGGGCAGAGGCUGUUAACCAUGCAAGUUAUUUGAUUAACAAGUCACCAUCUACAGUUCUUGGUUUUAAGAAUGCAGAAGAGGUAUGGUCUGACAAGCCGGUGGACUAUUCCAAGCUCAGGGUGUUCGGCUGUAGUGCUUAUGCACAUAUUCCAAGUGAUGAAAGGUCCAAGCUCAAACCAAAGUCUACACAUUGCAUAUUCUUAGGUUGUGAGAAAGGAGUUAAGGGUCUCAAGUUUUGGGAUUUCAACAACAGGAAAAAGGUUGUUAGUCGAGAUGUUUUCUUUGAUGAAACAACCAUGCCUCUUAAUAAAGUCAAGAGCAGUAGGGAGAAGACGGACGAUGCUAAAAUUGAAGCAACAAAGAUUCCAUUAAUCAGUUCAGAUGAAGAAGCUUAGGUGGAGCAAAUCGAGCAAGAGACCAAAUCUGAUGGUUUUGAGGAAGAAGAAGAGCAUCAGCAUGGUUCACCAGUUAGGAAUCAGGUGGACCAAGAAACAGGACAAAUUGAAGGCACUCCAAUCCGCUAGACAUCCCAAAGUGGUCAAACUCCAACCAACAAUCCAUCUACAUUCUAGAGAUGCAUAGCACUGGACAAACCUAAUCGGAACAAGAAACCUGACAGAUUUGGGUUUGACCAAGAUGAAGUUAAUUAUGCUCUUAACAUUAGUCAAGGAGAUCCGACUACUUAUCGAGAAGCUAUAGCUAAUGAUGAGCGAGAUAGUUGGAUAAGUGCUAUGAUAGAAGAAAUGGAGUCUCUUUACAAGAACUCUGUUUGGGAGUUGGUUUCUAAGCCCAAAGACAGAAAGCUAGUUGGAUGCAAGUGGGUAUUUAGGAAAAAGGAAGGACUACAUGAACAAGAUGCCAUGAGAUUCAAAGCAAGGCUCGUGGCUAAGGGGUACUCACAAAAGGAAGGGGUGGAUUAUGAUGAGAUCUUUUCACCUGUAGUCAAGCAUACUUCUAUCAGAUUACUCUUAGCUAUGGCAGCUCAGCAUAACAUGGAGAUUGAGCAGAUGGAUGUGAAGACAGCGUUACUUCAUGGAGAUCUAGAGGAGACGAUUUUCAUGGCUCAACCAUAAGGGUUUGUUGAAUAUGGGAAAGAGAACCUAACCUAGUAUGUCAGCUAAGGAAGUCCCUGUAUGGCCUCAAACAAUCUCCAAGACAGUGGUACAAGAGGUUUGAUUCAUUCAUGCUGAAUCAAUUUUAGAAGAUGUUUAUAUGACUAUUGCAUGUACUAUCAUGUGUUCCAAGAUGGGAUGAUCAUAUUACUAUUGCUAUAUGUGAAUGGCAUGCUAAUUUCUUGUCAAGACAAGUCUAGAAUUUAAGACUUGAAAAAGAUGUUGAGUAAGGAGUUUGAUAUGAAGGAUCUAGGUGCUGCACAAAAGAUCCUUGGCAUGGAAAUUCAGAGAGAUAGGACCGCUGGAAGGAUCUGGAUAUCACAAGCCAAGUAUAUUCAGAAGGUUCUUGAGAAGUUCAACAUGCAAGAAGCAAAGGUAGUUUCGACUCCUUUGACGGCUCACUUCAGGUUAAGUGGGCAACAAUGUCCUACGUCCGAGGAAGAGCAACAAGUAAUGAAGAAGGUGCCUUAUGCUAAUGCCACGGGCUGCCUCAUGUAUGCAAUGGUAUGCACACGUCUUGACAUAGCUCAAGCAAUCAGUGUCGUUUCCAGAUACAUGGCAAAUCCAGGAAAGCAACAUUGGGAUGCAGUCAAGUGGAUUUUGCGUUAUUUGAAGGGUUCUUGGUGACAAAGGAUUAUGUUUAAGAAGCAAAAAGAAAAUGCAGGAGUGUUAGGAUAUGUGGAUGGAUGCAGAUUAUGCAGGGGACUUGGACAAGAGAAGGUCAACUUCUGGUUAUGUGUUUACAUGCACAACAGGACCAAUCAGUUGGAGGGCACUAUCGCAACCAAAUAUAGCUUUGUUGACCACACAGGCAGAGUAUAUUGCUUUGGCUGAAGCUAGAAAGGAAGCAAUUUGGCUUAGUGGCUUGGUAAGUCAAAUGGGAAUGACUCAAGAUUGUGUGAAGCUGAAGUGUGAUAGUCAAAGUGCCAUUUUUUCUGGAAGAUCAAAGCACAUUGAAGCAAGGUAUCAUAGAAUCAGAAAUUGGGUGGAGUCUACGGAAAUUUGGAUUGAAAAGAUUCAUACGGAUGACAAUGCCGCAGAUUUGCUUACAAAGAUAGUGCCGGCCAAGAAGUUCAAGCAUUGCUUGAACUAGAUUUGAUUAAAGUGGAGCAUCUCCUCACUUGAGGUGCAAUGAGGCAAGAAGAAGAUUGCCAAGGUGAAGACUCUUGAAGAUUUCCAAAGCUGCUUCAAGAAGGUUCAAAGAUACUUUGGGGUGCAACGAUCAAGACUUGGUUUGACUCACCAAGGUUGAGAUUCUUAGGAUUUUGGCUCCUCAAAUAUGUCCUAGUUGGUUUAGGAUUGUUUUAGGAAACCUAGAGGUAUACCGAUUCUUGUCCUAGAGGUAUUAGUAAAGAAUUUCAGUUUCCUUAUUCAAUUUAGGUUUGGAUUUCUAGAAGUCUAUUUGGUUUUGGAUAGUGUAAUUUCCUAGUCCACUUAGAAAUAGGAAUUCAAUCAGCCUUGGGACAUGUAAGCCAACCCUAUGUCUAUAAAUAGGUUGCGCAACGCUGAUUUUAUAGGAGAGAAAGAAAACAGCCAGACAGCCAAGAGUUUUGAGAUUAGUUCUAGGGUUUGCAAAAGUUCUAUAAUCUCUAGUAUUAAUCAAAGGAGCGGUGAUUUCUCUGCCUAGAGAAAUCACAACUGGAUGUAGGCCUGAGUUCUGCUGAACCAGUAUAAUUCUUAUGCGUUUCUAAGUUUUCUAAUAUUUGCUAGUUUAGUCUAUUGUCGUUGGUUAUAUUAAAGAACAAGAUAUAGUGUGCGGGUUUUUUAACAAUACCAUGUUAGACAAGACCCCAAAGGCUUACGUCAUUAGGGAAUGUACCAACACUGUAUAUUAAGCUAACUAUAAUGACUUUGCACAAUUUCAAUGUUGACUUUAUUAUCAAAGGUUUUUUUUUUUUUCCAUAAUCCAGGUUGGUCCUAAAGUAAAUUGCCCUUGAAUUAGCAUGGUAAAUAUAGCAUAAAAAGAAAGGAGUUACAUCUAGUUGUGAAAUUUAGGUUCUUAGGGAAAUUUUAUGAGCAGUGAAGCAACUACUUUAGAAUGGAAUAAGGAGGCUUUGUUAGUAAUUAAGUUCUCCAAGUUCUGCCAUCAUUCUGUGUCAGAUUGUAGGCAGUGGGAACUUCACAGUUCAAACAUAGCAAAGGGAAAAAUUAUUUCUAUUUAAUUGUGUAAUAAAAGAAAUCAAAUACCACCUGG